CCUACGGGGGGCAGCAGUGGGGAAUAUUGCGCAAUGGGCGAAAGCCUGACGCAGCGACGCCGCGUGAGGGAUGAAGGUCUUCGGAUCGUAAACCUCUGUCAGCAGGGAAGAACGGUCACUGUGCUAAUCAGCAGUGAAUUGACGGUACCUGAAAAGGAAGCAUCGGCGAACUCCGUGCCAGCAGCUGCGGGAAUACGGAGGGUGCGAGCGUUAAUCGGAAUUACUGGGCGUAAAGCGCUCGUAGGCGGUAUGUCAAGUCAAGGGUGAAGUCCCCGCGCUCAACGUGGGAACUGCCUUUGAAACUGGCAGACUGGAGUGUGUGAGAGGAUAGUGGAAUUCCAGGUGUAGGAGUGAAAUCCGUAGAUAUCUGGAGGAACAUCAGUGGCGAAGGCGACUAACUGGCACAUAACUGACGCUGAGGAGCGAAAGCGUGGGUAGCAAACAGGAUUAGAUACCCGUGUAGUC
rnacentral:rRNA from 1 species